rnacentral:rRNA from 1 species
GGUUGCGAUCAUACCAGCACUAACGCACCGGAUCCCAUCAGAACUUCGCAGUUAAGCGUGCUUGGGCGACAGUAGUACUAGGAUGGGUGACCCCCUGGGAAGUCCUCGUGUUGCAACCCC